rnacentral:rRNA from 1 species
AUUGAACGCUGGCGGCAGGCCUAACACAUGCAAGUCGAGCGAGCGGCGGACGGGUGAGUAAUGUCUGGGAAACUGUCUGAUGGAGGGGGAUAACUACUCGAAACGGUAUCUAAUACCGCAUACCAUCAGAUGUGCCCAGAUGGGAUUAGCUCGUAGGUGGGGUAACGGCUCACCUAUGCGACGAUCCCUAGCUGGUCUGAGAGGAUGACCAGCCACACUGGAACUGAGACACGGUCCAGAGUCCUACGGGAGGCAGCAGUGGGGAAUAUUGCACAAUGGGCGCAAGCCUGAUGCAGCCAUGCCGCGUGUGUGAAGAAGGCCUUCGGGUUGUAAAGCACUUUCAGCGAGGAGGCGUUACCCGCAGAAGAAGCACCGGCUAACUCCGUGCCAGCAGCCGCGGUAAUAC